UACGUAGGGUGCGAGCGUUUGUCCGGAAUUAUUGGGCGUAAAGGGCUCGUAGGCGGUCUGUCGCGUCGGGAGUGAAAACUCAGGGCUUAACCCUGAGCCUGCUUCCGAUACGGGCAGACUAGAGGUAUGCAGGGGAGAACGGAAUUCCUGGUGUAGCGGUGAAAUGCGCAGAUAUCAGGAGGAACACCGGUGGCGAAGGCGGGUCUCUGGGCCGAUAUCGACGCUGAGGAGCGAAAGCGUGGGGAGCGAACAGG
rnacentral:rRNA from 1 species